GACGAACGCUGGCGGCGUGCUUAACACAUGCAAGUCGAGCGGGGAUACGAGGGAGCUUGCUCCUGAGUAUUCUAGCGGCGGACGGGUGAGUAACGCGUGAGCAACCUUUCUCUCAGUGGGGAAUAACACAGGGAAACUUGUACUAAUACCGCAUGAGACCACAGAGUCGCAUGACUUAGGGGUCAAAGAUUUAUUGCUGAGAGGUGGGCUCGCGUCUGAUUAGGUAGUUGGUGAGGUAACGGCCCACCAAGCCGACGAUCAGUAGCCGACCUGAGAGGGUGAUCGGCCACAUUGGGACUGAGACACGGCCCAAACUCCUACGGGAGGCAGCAGUGGGGAAUAUUGGGCAAUGGGGGAAACCCUGACCCAGCAACGCCGCGUGGAGGAAGAAGGUUUUCGGAUCGUAAACUCCUGUCCUCAGGGAAGAGCAGAAGACGGUACCUGAGGAGGAAGCCCUGGCUAACUACGUG
rnacentral:rRNA from 1 species